GACGAACGCUGGCGGCGUGCCUAAUACAUGCAAGUCGAACGAGAGCGCCCGGUGCUUGCACUGGUCAAUCUAGUGGCGAACGGGUGAGUAACACGUGGGUAACCUGCCCAUCAGAGGGGGAUAACAUCCGGAAACGGAUGCUAAAACCGCAUAGGUCUUCGAACCGCAUGGUUUGAAGAGGAAAAGAGGCGCAAGCUUCUGCUGAUGGAUGGACCCGCGGUGCAUUAGCUAGUUGGUGAGGUAACGGCUCACCAAGGCCGUGAUGCAUAGCCGACCUGAGAGGGUGAUCGGCCACAUUGGGACUGAGACACGGCCCAAACUCCUACGGGAGGCAGCAGUAGGGAAUCUUCCGCAAUGGACGCAAGUCUGACGGAGCAACGCCGCGUGAGUGAAGAAGGUGUUCGGAUCGUAAAACUCUGUUGUUAGAGAAGAACAAGUGCUAGAGUAACUGUUAGCGACUUGACGGUAUCUAACCAGAAAGCCACGGCUAACUACGUG
rnacentral:rRNA from 1 species